UGUAGCUAUAGAUGUGCCCGGGGCUCACGUCUCGUAUUGACACGGACUUAGUGUUGCCUGGACUCAGCGCAGAGCGUCACGUUUUGAAUUAUUCGAAUAACAAUCUCACGAGCUUACUCAGAACUAUUCACUGAAUAAGAAUGGCCAAAGGAAAAGGUGGUGGCGGAGGUGGUGGUGGUGGUGGAGGUGGAGGUGGUGGCAGUGGCAGUGCUGGUGCUGGCAGUGGUGGGGGUAAAGGGGAGGAGAAGAAAGCCACAGGUGGUGGAAAGGGAGGGGAGAAAGGUGGUGGCGCCAAGGGAGGAGGUGAAAAGAACGUCAAGAAAGGUGGGAAGAAAUGAUAGUUGUGUAAACACCCGAUGACAUUAUCUCGACAAGACUAGCAGUCAUCGGUAUCAACAUUGUGUGUUAAAUGUGUCCUGUGUUCAGAAAGCAACUGUGUUUUAAUUUUGUGUGCAAGCAGAGUGAUGCAGGCGGAGCUCGAUAAACUUUAUUCUCAAAUUUAAGGAACUGUAUCAACAUGUAGUAUCCAAAUCUUGUGUCAUUCAGUAUCACUUAAUCUUCUGUUAUCAAGAUGAGAUUAUGUCUGCUUGAUUGUUCUGCCUCCAAACGAUGCAAAACAUGGUGAAGGGAAAACUGUCUCUUAAAUUUUUCAUAUUGAUUUGUAAACUGGGGUGUACUCAGAGUAACCUCCACAGGACAAACCAAAGACGAUCACAGAUGAAACGAAUACAAUGUAAAUUAGUCAAAUUUUAAACUCAAUGAGAAUAACAAUUUAGAAGAAAUCAAGAGAAACUAAAAAACGUUAUUUUCCUAUUUGAAGUAAAAAUUGAGGACUGAGCAUUUAUGUUGGCAAGUCUGGUAUGAUGUCAUCCACUUUCUAUUUUUGUUAUGGAGUCCAUAUUAAGUUUUGUAAUUUUAUUGAAGAUUAAAAAUACUUUUUUUCCAUUUC